UUAAGUGACUAAGCGUACACGGUGGAUGCCUUGGCAGUCAGAGGCGAUGAAAGACGUAGUAACUUGCGAUAAGCCCAGAUUAGGUAGUAACAACCAUUUGAGUCUGGGAUUUCUGAAUGGGGAAACCCACGUGCAUAAGCACGUAUCCUUACCUGAAUACAUAGGGUAAGGAGGCGAACCGGGGGAACUGAAACAUCUAAGUACCCCGAGGAAAAGAAAUCAACCGAGAUUCCGAAAGUAGCGGCGAGCGAAAUUGGACUAGCCCUUAAGCUUUACACGCGUUAGACGAACGGUCUGGAAAGUCCGACGAUACAGGGUGAUAGUCCCGUAGUUGACGACGUGUGUUCAGUGAAAUCGAGUAGGGCGGGACACGUGAUAUCCUGUCUGAAUAUGGGGGGACCAUCCUCCAAGGCUAAAUACUACUGACUGACCGAUAGUGAACCAGUACCGUGAGGAAAGGCGAAAAGAACCCCUGUGAGGGGAGUGAAAUAGAACCUGAAACCGUGUACGUACAAGCAGUAGGAGCAGGCUUUGUCCUGUGACUGCGUACCUUUUGUAUAAUGGGUCAGCGACUUAUAUUCAGUGGCAAGGUUAACCAUCUAGGGGAGCCGUAGGGAAACCGAGUCUUAACUGGGCGUUCAGUCUCUGGAUAUAGACCCGAAACCAGGUGAUCUAGCCAUGGGCAGGUUGAAGGUUGAGUAACAUCAACUGGAGGACCGAACCGACUAAUGUUGAAAAAUUAGCGGAUGACUUGUGGCUAGGGGUGAAAGGCCAAUCAAACCUGGAGAUAGCUGGUUCUCCCCGAAAGCUAUUUAGGUAGCGCCUCGGACGAAUACUACUGGGGGUAGAGCACUGUUAAGGCUAGGGGGUCAUCCCGACUUACCAACCCUUUGCAAACUCCGAAUACCAGUAAGUACUAUCCGGGAGACACACGGCGGGUGCUAACGUCCGUCGUGGAGAGGGAAACAACCCAGACCGCCAGCUAAGGUCCCAAAUUACUACUAAGUGGGAAACGAUGUGGGAAGGCUCAGACAGCAGGAUGUUGCUUAGAAGCAGCCAUCAUUUAAAGAAAGCGUAAUAGCUCACUGGUCGAGUCGGCCUGCGCGGAAGAUGUAACGGGGCUAAGUAGUAACCGAAGCUGCGGCAAUAUACUUUUGUAUAUUGGGUAGGGAGCGUUCUGUAAGCGGUUGAAGGUGUGUGGUAACGCAUGCUGGACGUAUCAGAAGUGCGAAUGCUGACAUGAGUAACGAUAAAGGGGGUGAAAAACCUCCUCGCCGGAAGACCAAGGGUUUCCUGUCCAACGUUAAUCGGGGCAGGGUAAGUCGACCCCUAAGGCGAGGCCGAAAGGGCGUAGUCGAUGGGAAACGGGUUAAUAUUCCCGUACUUCUUACAAUUGCGAUGGGGGGACGGAGAAGGCUAGGUGGGCCUGGCGACGGUUGUCCAGGUUCAAGUGCGUAGGCUUAAGAGUUAGGUAAAUCCGGCUCUUUCUAAGGCUGAGACACGACGUCGAGCACCUACGGGUGUGAAGUCAUUGAUGCCAUGCUUCCAGGAAAAGCCUCUAAGCUUCAGAUUGUAAGGGAAUCGUACCCCCAAAACCGACACAGGUGGUCGCGUAGAGAAUACCAAGGCGCUUGAGAGAACUCGGGUGAAGGAACUAGGCAAAAUGGUACCGUAACUUCGCGGAGAGCGUACGCUCUUGAUGGGAAGUCCCUUGCGGAAUGGAGCGACGAGAGUCGCAGAUACCGAGGUCGCUGGCACCUGUUUCAUUAAAAACAGGCACCUGUGCAAUCGUAAGAUGGACGUAUUACGGUGGUGCGCCUGCGCCCGGUGCGCGGAAGGUUAAUGGAAUGGGGUUAGACUUCGGUCGAAGCUCUUGAUCGAAAGCCGGUAAAGCGGGCGGUAAUAUGAGGUCGCUAAAGGAAGCGGAAUUCCUUGUCGGGUAAGU
rnacentral:rRNA from 1 species